rnacentral:rRNA from 1 species
UAAGGAAUAUUGCUCAAUGGGAGAAAUCCUGAAGCAGCAACGCCGCGUGGAGGAUGAAGGGUUUUUAACUUGUAAACUCCUGUAAAGAAGGAAAAAAUUCCCAUUAGAUGGGAAAUGAUGGUACUUCUGGAGUAAGCCCCGGCUAACUACGUGCCAGCAGCCGCGGUAAUACGUAGGGGGCAAGCGUUGUCCGGAUUUACUGGGUGUAAAGGGUGCUCAGGCGGAUUUGUAAGUCAGAGGUGAAAUCUCACAGCUUAACUGUGAAACUGCCUUUGAUACUGCAAGCCUAGAGUAUGGAAGAGAGUGAUGGAAUAUCUGGUGUAGCANGUGGAAAAUGCGUAGAUAUCAGAUAGAACACCAAUGGCGAAGGCAGUCACUUGGUCCAUAACUGACGCUAAAGCACAAAGCGUGGGUAGCAAACAGGAUUAGAUACCCUGGUAGUCCACGCCCUAAACGAUGAAUACUAGAUGUUGGCUUCGCAUGAAGUCAGUAUCUGAGCUAACGCAUUAAGUAUUCCAACCUGGGAANUACGAUCGCAAGGUUGAAACUCAAAUG